UUUUUUUCAGACCGCCGCCAGCCAAGGAGGGAGCUGCUCCUUGCGUACUUCGUCGGCGUCUGACGCAGCCACCGGCGCUGCUUUUCUUCUCUCCCCUACCUCCUUUCAGCGCCAGCGCCAACGCUGAUCGUCGACCGCCGCAUAUCGCUGGUCUCCAUCUCUUCUCCCCUCCACAGAGGGGUGGUUUUUGGUUGAGCAUCGCCGUCAAACACAGGUGGCGCUUGGUGUUCUUCGAGCCGCGACCGCCGCGAAACAGCACCGACUUCUUCUCUACCGCGCUCCACAGCGCCGGUGACUCCUUCCUAGCGCUGAGUCCAGCGAUCACCGCUGAGUCCAGCAGUCAGCACCGCCGCCUAUAGCGGCUUCCGUUGCCCCUUACAGCAUCUCCGGCACCCAGCGUCUCAAGGGGUCCAGCAUCGUCCCCUCCAGUGGCCGACACAUCUGCCGGCCGCUGCCUUAGCCUCCCGUAGCCAUCGUCGUUACAGCCAUUUCCGGCGAGCCUACAACAGACUCCGGCACUCCCAUAGUUGACUCUGUUUGCUGUAUAGUAGUUGUCUCCACUGCUUUUGGCAUAGAUCCGGCUCUCCGCGGUGUCUCUGGACUUUCGUCGUGUUUCGUCGUUACAGCCAUUUCCGGCGAGCCUACAGCAGACUCCGGCACUCCCAUAGUUGACUCUGUUGGCUGUAUAGUAGUUGUCUCCACUGUUUUUGGCAUAGAUCCGGCUCUCCGCGGUGUCUCUGGACUUCCGUCGUGUUUUCCGGCCAUCGAGCCGCGACGCUCUGCUAUUUGUAUUGUUGCUAUGAUGGUGAGACAUUUUAUCAGCUGGUCUAUGAGCCGUCAGUGUGUGUCGUGGCCCGACCUGCGAGCCGAUGAUAUGUUUUGACUUAGAGGCCUCUUUGUGGAUACACGGCAUACCAGAUUCCCCGUCGCUGCUCCUAGAUCCGGCUCCGUUGCUGACUCAUAUCCAUCCAUCCGGCAGGGCCGCUACGACUCGAUCAGUGGUCCGAUCAGCUCAUCCAUCCACCUGAGGGCGCCCCCCUGGGCCAGGGUACGUCAUUGCACUCGUUUCAUGCUUAUUUUAUUAGCAUGUUAUUAUGCGGCUGCUUAUGCAUUUGGGGGAUCCUCCUCGAGCACCGAGGUACCAGAGACCGGGGCAACCCGGUCACUGGCUGCAGGUACAGUUGCCCGGAAGACUUCAGACGACUUGGUCAACGCAGUGGACAGAUCAUCAACCGGGUCAUGGGGAUGCGGUCAACCUUCCAGACACGUCAUUCCGACAGGGGAAUUAGAGCAACUACAGCAACGGUGGAGACGCCGCGAUCGAUGACAGCGGUGCUGCAGGUGGGCUAGCUGUGCCAACAAGGAAGGGGUAUUCUAAAAUUUUAAAAGGAAGGGGAGGUCCGGGUGGAGGCUAGAUUUCUUGGAUCAUUUUUUAUGAUCUAGGGGAUGUGACACUCGUCUUUUUACGGCCAAAACAGAGAGGAAAGUGAAGUUGGAGCUCCUCUCCCCCCAAACCCAAUCAGAAGAAAACUAAUGAGGUUUGUCUAUGUAAGCUCCAAGAUAAUCAUUAACGCUUGCUGCUUAAUGUAAAAUUAAUUUCGCACAUAGAGUUCGGUUGGAGAAUAAUUUGAGGUAGAAAAUAAAGAUCACACGUCAUCUUUCGUGACCAUUAGCAACAUACCA